UUGUACACACCGCCCGUCGCUCCUACCGAUUGAAUGGUCCGGUGAAGUGUUCGGAUUGCUGCGACGUGGGUGGUACGCCGCAUGCGACGUUGUGAGAAGUCCACUGAACCUUAUCAUUUAGAGGAAGGAGAAGUCGUAACAAGGUUUCCGUAGGUGAACCUGCGGAAGGAUCAUUGUCGAGACCCUGAUAGAUCAGAGUGACGGGAGAACUUGUCACCUAGCGCGUGCAAGGGACCGCAUUGUUUUAACAAGUCUGCCUGUUGUCGUUCAUCCAAGGGCGCAACGGAAUGACAACCUUCCCUGGGCCAUGUUCAGCGCCAAGGAAAGAUUUUGAGUAAGUAGGGAGAGAUGUUUUUACCCCAUGCUUUACUCGUAUGCAUCGUAGCAGGGGAAAGAGCUGCUUCUCCAAUUCAUAGAGUUUACAUGACUCUCGACAACGGAUAUCUUGGCUCUUGCAUCGAUGAAGAACGCAGCGAAAUGCGAUAUAUGGUGUGAAUUGCAGAAUCCCGCGAACCAUCGAGUACUUGAACGCAAGUUGCGCCUGAGGCCAAGCGGUUGAUGGCACACCUGCCUGGUUGUUGUCGUAUGCUGUUUCGCUCCUGUAUUUGCUUGCCGCGGAAAUCAAUCGUUUGAUGGCAUGAGCAGGGGAUGUUAAGAGGUUGGCCCCCUGUCUGUAGGUGCGGUGGGUCGAAGAGAUUGUUCCUAUCGGUCAGUUUGGGAUCAGACAUAGGGGGUGGAUGGUGGAUUAGAACUAACCAUUGUGGCCCAGUAUGGUCAUGGUAACCUUACCAGUAAAAGAAGCAUUGGAUUAACAACUCUGAGAACAUGAGAAUUGCCGUGCAGGUGCUGGAGUUUGCUCUCAUUUUGUGACCCCAGGUCAGGCGGGGACACCCGCUGAGUUUAAGCAUAUCAUUAAGCGGAGGAAGAGAAACUUACAAGGAUUCCCCUAGUAACGGCGAGCGAAUCGGGAUCAAGCCCAGCAUGGAAAUCCGGCCAACA
rnacentral:rRNA from 1 species